rnacentral:rRNA from 1 species
ACAUGGCAGUCGAACGGCAGCAUGAUCUAGCUUGCUAGAUUGAUGGCGAGUGGCGAACGGGUGAGUAAUACAUCGGAACGUGCCCUGUAGUGGGGGAUAACUAGUCGAAAGAUUAGCUAAUACCGCAUACGACCUGAGGGUGAAAGUGGGGGACCGCAAGGCCUCAUGCUAUAGGAGCGGCCGAUGUCUGAUUAGCUAGUUGGUGAGGUAAAGGCUCACCAAGGCGACGAUCAGUAGCUGGUCUGAGAGGACGAUCAGCCACACUGGGACUGAGACACGGCCCAGACUCCUACGGGAGGCAGCAGUGGGGAAUUUUGGACAAUGGGCGAAAGCCUGAUCCAGCAAUGCCGCGUGUGUGAAGAAGGCCUUCGGGUUGUAAAGCACUUUUGUCCGGAAAGAAAUGGCUCUGGUUAAUACCUGGGGUCGAUGACGGUACCGGAAGAAUAAGGACCGGCUAACUACGUGCCAGCAGCCGCGGUAAUACGUAGGGUCCAAGCGUUAAUCGGAAUUACUGGGCGUAAAGCGUGCGCAGGCGGUUGUGCAAGACCGAUGUGAAAUCCCCGAGCUUAACUUGGGAAUUGCAUUGGUGACUGCACGGCUAGAGUGUGUCAGAGGGGGGUAGAAUUCCACGUGUAGCAGUGAAAUGCGUAGAGAUGUGGAGGAAUACCGAUGGCGAAGGCAGCCCCCUGGGAUAACACUGACGCUCAUGCACGAAAGCGUGGGGAGCAAACAGGAUUAGAUACCCUGGUAGUCCACGCCCUAAACGAUGUCAACUAGUUGUUGGGGAUUCAUUUCCUUAGUAACGUAGCUAACGCGUGAA